rnacentral:lncRNA from 1 species
UUGUUAUAGCAAUUGUAACCAGUUCUGAAGGAGUCUAUCCAUCCUCUAUGUGACAAUUUACAAAGGCAAAAAUAGAAAAACUGUUUUUUUUUAAUAUAUGGGCUUAAUUACAAUGAUAUUUUUUAAAUAUAUGGUUAUAGGGGAAAAACAACAGAAUUUUAAAACUCAGUACAUUAAAUGAACAGUAUAACAGAAUAAUAUUGAAUCCAGUAAUAUAUGAACUUAAAAUCACAAAGUUAUAUCUUAAACAAAACAAUCAGAAAAAUGCAGAGAUUUGUAUAAACCAUUGGAGUCUGAAAUGCCUUAAAAAUCAUAACCUCCAGUCUUUAAAGUUCCUUGGGUUAUUAUCCAUGUAAAUGCCUAUUGUCAGAAGGCAGAGUGGUAAGGGCUAAGCAAUGGGGGUUAAGGGACCCAUCCAGGGCCCCACAGCUGGGGAGUAUCUGAGGCCAGAUUUUAACCCAGGACUGCAUGUCUUUAGGCCUGGCUCUCAGUUCCCUGAGCCACCCAUUCACCCCUUCAAAGUUGAAUCUUUGGGCUGAAUCUUUCUUCUGGCACGAAGGUGAAAUCAAUGAAAUCACCAGAACAGUCAAAAGUUCUAAGAGAAGGGAAGAGUUUGGAAAUAGUUUUGGUUCUGACUGACAGGAGGAAACUGAAAGAAUUCUUCUAAUGUCUCUUAUAAUUAGUGAAUUGCCUUGGUUUCUUGAUCAUGAUGAGAAACAUCAGGAUGAAGCUGAAAAAAGAAUGAUGCAUGCCCUGGAAAUGACUCAAAUGUUCCUGCAUAAGAACUCCUCAAACUAGACUCCAGAAGUCACAGAGAUAUGGAGUUGGCUUUGGGACCUUCUGAAACAUCCUACUUAAGUUUCUGAUUACCAAGAUGUCACUGAACCUGUUUCUGGCACUCUCCCUCUUGUGUCUAGAACACACCACCCGUACAUAACAUGCCGUGAUCCCUUCCUGGAUCAGCCCAUUACCCACCUAUCACCUGGCUCCUUUUGUUUGGAAAUCAUAAAAUAGCAUUUUUGCUGUUUCAAGCUAAGCUUUGUAGCAACAACCUAAACUGUUUUAUACACAUGUUGUCUUUGCUUAAUAAAUUUUUAAUAAAAAAUAUUCUUGUUAUACA